AUUGUUAUUUGUGGCUAGCCCGCAAACCUGAAUUUGAAGUUGGAGUAUCAUUGGUGAUUUAUUAAUUUUAUUGCAACAUGCCAAGUGCAUUGCAUCAUUCAUUGGCAUUGGAAGUUAUGUCUUGACCUAUGGUUAUGACUGUACCGGUACGCAUCAUGGGAUGCAGCUCCACACCUUGUUGGGUGUGCAGACAGGAGACAUAUGCAUUGCAUUCAUAUGCAUUCAUGAGAAGUAUGUUAUUGAAGAUAUUUUAUUCACAUUAUUAUGAAGCUCUGUAUUAUUGGCUAUGUUCCAAAUUGGAAGACUGUUACUAUGAUAUUAUGUCAAUUGGGAACACCAUAUUAAAUUGAUGUUAAUUCAAAUUGUGGUUUAAAUAGCUUGUCAAAACAAGUUCGCUUGCUGAGAUGUUUCAUCUCACCCUUGUUUUACUCAAUCCAGGUACUUGAUGCUUACUUGGAACGGAAGGGAAUUAGCUGCACGUCACACACUUCUUCAUUUAGAGACCUUGUGUUUUAAUAAAUAAUAAUUUGGUUUGCUUAUUAGUUUUGAAGGCGGUUGUUAAAGUGUGGAUGUUAAACUUAAUUCUUGUUGAAGUAACUUAUUUGCGUUAGGAUGUUCAUUAAUCCUAGUUUGGUAUUUCAGUUAUUUUUAUAUUUUAUUCUUCCGCUUGCUAUAAAUACAAAGGAGAUGCUGCCAAAUUGUUUAUUGGUUGUGUGCAGCUGUUGUUUGUGUAGUCUAGUAGCAUCCCGGUGUAUUUGUGGUUUUCGGGGUGUUACAUUUGGUACCAAAGCAGGCAUUAGAUUCUCGGAAAAAGUAAGAUUUAAAAUGACACACUUGCACAUGUAGGUUGGGUAUGGAUUUAUAUGUUAGGCAUGCCUUUUGAUACUGAGGUGUUUGUUUUUCUUAAGUAUCCUUAUGCCUAUGUUACAUAUCAUUGCUAUUGUUAACUUUGAGUCAUGUGUAAAUUUUAUAGGCUUUGUUUACAUAAUUUUUAUUUGUUGUUGCCAUAUGUUGUAUAUAUUUAAAUAUGAUCUAGUACAUAUUAGUUAUUCUUACAAGUACAAACCUGACAAGUUUUGUCGCUAUGAUGUUUUGCAUAAGUGUACCUUUAAAGUAUUGUAGUGUUAUGUGCUUGAGUAGCGAAGAUGAUGAGUGUUCUUUAUGUUUUUGUUGAUAGCAAAAGAUCUUGGAACCCCAUAGAGUUGCUAUAGUUUAGUAGUGUAGAUGGGUGGAGUGGAGGGCCCCCACAAUGCUUUUUCUGCACUACUAUGUGAGGAUUUUCUGAGGGACACGUAGCGACCCAACUAUUUGUAUUCGAAGAAAAUAGUGGAGUGACGGGUGGAUUGGCCCCCAUGCCGUGCACUCUAGCUAUUCUCUCUCGACAUAUUGAUUGGUGGGACGUUGUGUGACUUGUCCUAUAUGUUUGUGUUGCGAUGUAUAAACCUAAGCCUAGAAUGAUAUAGGAUUAUCCCAUGGUGUAGUUGUAACCUUAAACAGGUCAUAGUGAUUUACUGAUAGAAGUGCAUAUUAAGAGUUACAAGUGGUUUGAGGGUUAUAUGCAAUCAUGUUUUUUUUAUCGAGUGCAUGCUGGUUAUCUAAUUAAUUUCUAGUGUCCAAGUAUGUCAGCUUACCCUUUGUAAUGCUUUGGUGAAGUGUUUGCUUGAAGACAUGAUUUUACUGUGUUCUAUGUCAUGACUACUUUAUUAUAAGUUGCUUUAAAGUCGUCGUUUUUAUUUUUGAGUAGGAUUUGGGUUUACUAAGCAGAGAAGUGCCUGAACUCUAGAAGUCAUAUUUGUUGCUAGUGCAUGAAUAGAUAUUUAGAAGAGUUGGUUAAAUUAGUAUUCAUGUUUUAAUAAGCGUUUAUCCUUAACAAGAUGUUCACGUUCUUUAAAAAAUGUGAAGUUGUCUCACUUCAUUACUAGUCAUGGCUAUUGUUUGAUUGAACUGAUCUAAUUCUUUGUGUGCAUGCUUAAUAUGUCAUCUUCAACUUACUUACAUGCUUUGGGUGAAUUAGUCCUUGUAGGUGGCUUCUUGGGUUUGCAAGACAUUUUUUUACUUGUGUGGUAUUUAUCUUUGUACGUCAUACAUAUGUUGUCUAUGUUUAGUGUUGUUCUAUAAUUCAUGGACGAAUUCUUUUAAGGGGGGGUAGAAUGUAAAACACGAAAUAUGUUUUGUAUGUUAAGAAGCACAAAGUGGUAAAUGGUCCAAUAAGAGUUUUUUUGAGUUGCAAAAAAAAGAAUAUCCAAUUCCCGGAUGGAUGAUUAGAGACCAUAGUUACGUAGGGCUCGAUGAACUCUUUCCGUUCGACUUCACGCGUUGUUUGGAGAUUGAUUUGCGCAACUAGGGCUGAUACAGGAUUUAUGGAAGGUAAAUAUAUAGUAGACCAUCAAUAACUCGUGCUACUGUAACAUAGUUGGCCCUAUUGCAAGCGUUUCUGGCGACUUCUCACCUGUGUCUCUUCUUUUCCUUUUCCCUUGCCCCUAAUCCACCCAGGACUCCCAUUUCUUUUUCUAAGACUUUGGAUUCAUGUUGUUGUCUGCUGCUGCCAUUGACUAACCAGAGAAGGGAGGAAUGAUAUAGAAAAUAAGGAAGAAAAAUGAAUGAGAAAAGAGAUUGCACAAACCCUAGGUUUCUUUAUUGGUGUAAUCUAGGCGAGAUGAAAAUUAUUUAACCCCCUUGUUUUGGAUUAGAUUUAUACCCUAGUUUUUUUGUUGGAUUAGAUGGGGUAGUUCUCAUAAGUGAUCAUGUCCACAUCCUCAGAAUUUAUGAGGUUGUGCAGUAUGUGUUCAUCACCAUUUUUUUUAUUUUUGUUACAGACCGAAUUGGCCAAACCAUUGAACACCAAAUUUAUAGAUAUUUCCUUUAACCAUCUGUGAAAUUUUAUGAUUUUAGGCUAUGUGGUUUGAGAUUUUUUUACUAUAGUUGUUGCCGUUUUCAUGUUGUUCUCGAUAGUAAUAGAUUGAUCCAGUUUUUGUCAAUGCUAAAUGUCAAACUAGUCUUUAUAAUGAAUACCAAAGUUGUAGUGUUUUUUAGUAUCUUUCCAAUGGUGUAUGAUUCAGUGUCAUAUCUGAAAUAUAAAUUUAUAUUUAUGCUUUUGAAUUGAGUUUGUGAUUUCUGAUGUCAAAUUCUGUGUUCGAUGUUACUACCUUAACUAGAACAUCUUGAUGAUUUUUACUGAAAGUAUCUAUAGAACAAACGUUCUAUAUAAGACAAUUUUACAUGAUAGAGGUAAAGUUUCAUAAUUGUUGGGCAAGUGUUUUAUAGUAGAUAUCAAUAUUAUAUUGGCGACUAUUAGAAUUCAGCACAAAUUUUAUUUUUUACAUUCAAUUGAAGUUUAGGUAUGCUUAAAUUCAGAACAAAAAUAUUGUGUCUUCAUAAAAACUGUGGACCUUGUUUUGUAGUUUUUGAAUAUGUAUUUAUUUACUAUCAUUGCUUUUGAAUAUUAAAGAUACAUAAAUAUCAAAUGGUUAUGCUUCUGUUAGCCGAAAAUAGUGUUGGUUGUUUUGUUUUGCUCAAUGGGUUGGAGUGUAGUGUUGCAUUACUUGUUAUUCAUAUAUGUUCGUGCUUGUGCCUAUAAGAUAGACAAAAUUGUAGGUUGCAUCAAGGUUUCACUUUGUUUUGUUUGUUUGGCAAAUUGGCCAAGCUUGAUAUAGUGUUUGUCCCUAUGGAGAGUAGCUAAGGUCACACCUGACCCUUUGAUAUGUGCAUGGUUGUCACGCUAGUUGGUCUCGUUCCAUGAGGAAAAAGUUUUGAGGUGAAAGGAAGCAAGUGUGUUGUCUUCAGUCAUAGAUGGGCACAUAGUCUAUGGUGUAUUAACAAGAACUAGUUUUGGCACGAAGUUGUGUUUCGUAGUUCAUGGUGCCACCUCAAGCUACUAGUUGGUUUGAGGCAAAUGUUGACCCAUGGAAUCAGUGAUCAUCAUUUGCUUGAUGGUUGUUCUAACCAGAAGUUUGGUAAUGUCCUAUAGGAAAAUUAAGUGUGAUAUACAGUCUUAUCAUUGGUUGUUCCCUGGAUGUUGCUUUAUCAAAUAAUUAGAGCACGUAGGAGGAUAAUGUCUAGCUCCUAGCUAGUUUAUUCUAGUAGAGCCUACUAAUUUUCUUAGUUUGUUUCUUUUAUCAGAGAAUGAAAUGUCUAGUGGCUUGAUCAUUCUAUCGAGGAUUUUGCCUUGUUCGUUUGAGCUUAUUAGCCAAAUCAACCAGCUAUUCAGUAGUGUUUUUCUCUCAAAACAAAUCAGCCAACCAUGCUUUCUGUCAUUGCUUAUCAGCCAAACAAACAAGGCGGUGAGACAAUUUUUUUAUGGGCCACUUUAAGAUUGUCUUAGAAAUAAGCUAUGUGUUUGUUAAGGUGGCAUUUUGUCAUCUUGUUCGUUGUCAUUGUAGGAAAGUUUGGCAACUGUGGUGGAAUUUUUUUUAUUUUACAUCUCAGUUUGCUGCUGUAUGAAGAGCCAUCAAAGUAUGAAAGUGUGGCCUUAGAUUUUCUUAUAUAACCCCUAUGCUAUUAGAAUGUUCUUACUGAGACCUUGAGUUUGAGUUCAAGCAUUGACUGUUCAUAGAUGAUUGAAAUUUCUGAGUUGAGUGUCCGAGUGCAUAUAUAUAUGAGUGUCAUUCGUUGGUGUUUGUGUUUUUAUUUGAAGUGCUUUUUAUUGUGUAUCUAGAUCAAAAGUCCUCUCAGUAGUAGUUCCUUGCUUCAUACCAUGAGAUCUUGGCCAUGUUACAAGUGCAGCCUUUUGAGAAGAGUCUUAUACUUUUUGUUUGCUUAUAAGUGGAGGAAUUCGGGGACGAAUUCUUUUAUGGGGGGUAGAAUGUAACACCUAGAAUAUAGUUAUUGUGUUGGAAGUGUAAAGUGGCAAAAUAAUAAUAAAUAAUAAUUUUUUUAUCCAUCACUCCAAUGAAUGAUCAGAGAUUAUAGAUGAGUAGAGCUCGUUAAAUGCUUUCCAUUUGACCACUCAUAUACAUUGUUUGGAGUUCGGAUGAUGAAGAUACAAAUUGUAGAAGGUUUAAUAAAAAAGAACUGCUACAGUAUCAUGAAUAGUAAUGCAAGGAUGCCUGGUCGAGUCCUUUUAUUUUCCUCAUCCUCAAACCAUGUGUGCCCCCUAGCCAGAGCCGCCCCUAUCCUGCAGUGCCACAUCCAAGGAAAAGGAAGGAGGAGGGCAGGGCCUAGGGUUUCGCCGCAGCCGCCGUCAGUGCCGUCCAUGGUGCCUGUUCUUCCUCUCGCAAAAGCUAGUUAGGAUCUAUCUCGCAGCUUGGCUAUCCUAUCAAUCUCUUCAUUCUCUAUUGUCCAUAAGGGCUCUUCCAUUUUUGGCAUAGAUAGGAACAGCAAGACCUUCAUAGCGGUAAGGAUCGUUGUGAGUUGCUUUGGAGAUGAUGGAAAGGUGAAGAGGCGGAGAAGAAGGAGUAGACGCCGGGAGUUUCGGCGUCGCGCUCACUUUGGUUCUCUAGGUGAGAAGCCAAAUAUUAAUCCCCUUCAUCUGAUCAAGUUUUGCGGAUUAAAUCGCUUAUUUGGGAUUGGGUUUAGUGGAGAAAUUCUCGAAGUCAAUUUCGUUCAUGUUGUGAAAUUCUCGUCAGACUGAGCAGUCCCUGUUCAUCAUAAUGUUAGGGAAUUUUAGAAGCUUUAACAAAUUUUGGGCCUCUGGACAAAGUUGUAGAGAACUUCAAUAUCUUUCUUUGGAUGCCAAGAACUCUAUCAUAGCUGUUAUAAUUUGUGAGAUAUCGAGUUUUCAAUCUGACUGUUUUCCCGUGAUGAAAUCUGGACAGUUUUGGAUCUAAGCAGUUUUUGACCCUGUUAAUGAAAUAAUUAGGUGUUUGAUUAUUAAGAAAAGUUUUAUUGUUUUUGUUAAGCUUUCUAGAUUGGUAAGGUUUGUAACUUUUGAGUAAGUAUAUCUCCAGUUAUGAAUUUUUGAAGUUUGAUGUUCUGUUUUGGAGGUCAGAAAUCUUCAGUUGUGUCCUAUGGUUAAUUAUACCAUCUUGCAAACCUCUGAUGCAAAACAUUACCAUACAAAAGUUGUAUAUAACAGAGUUUUACAUGAUUUGAUAAAUUAUGGAAAUUUUUGGAUGAGUAUUCUGAAGUAUAUGAAAAGGAGAAGAGUCGGUGCUGCUGUCUUGAUCGGUAGCGCAAACGGUAGAGGCUUGAAUGUCGGGUUUGGGGUGCUUUAGUGCGUAUUUGUUCUUACUCUUGCUUGUAUGUUGGUGUAUGUACUGAGUAGUAUUUGUGAUCAGGUGGUAGCACUUCAGAACAUCGCUAGUGCUUUUGUUCUCCUUCGGUAAAGAGACAAGUGAAUGUAGCGGUGGUUUGCUACCAUUUUGGCUUGUUAUUUUUAUCACCUACAGUUUAUUGUCUAUAAGAAUGUCAUCCCUCUCAUAUCUAAAAUUUAUGAUUUGUGUAUAUUUAGUCUUAGUUAAAUUGUGGUCUUAUUUAAGUACUUAUGGUCAUGGUAUUAUUUUAUAUUGUUAUUUGUGGCUAGCCCGCAAACCUGAAUUUGAAGUUGGAGUAUCAUUGGUGAUUUAUUAAUUUUAUUGCAACAUGCCAAGUGCAUUGCAUUAUUCAUUGGCAUUGGAAGUUAUGUCUUGACCUAUGGUCAUGACUGUACCGGUACGCAUCAUGGGUUGCAGCUCCACACCUUGUUGGGUGUGCAGGCAGGAGACAUAUGCAUUGCAUUCAUAUGCAUUCAUGAGAAGUAUGUUAUUGAAGA
rnacentral:lncRNA from 1 species